CCGCGGAGACCGUGCGUUGGCUCCACCGCCGCGGCCUUUCCUUCCUCCCGUCCCUCCGCCGCCUCCCGCUCGGGCCUGAGCGCGGGUCCGCGGCCGGCAGGGGGCGCUGCCGCGGCUGCGGGCCUCGUUCCGGGGGGCCGCGGCCUCUGGUCCCCGCUAGGUCCCCGCUAGGUCCCCGGAGGCCCCCACCCGGUCCACAAGCCACCCCUGAGCCUCACGCCACCGGGGGACGGAAGAGAGUCCCCGGGCCACCGGAGGAGCUGUCUUUUUACGGGCUGGGCUCGAUGCAGGAGCAGCGAGGCCUACAGGGAAGCCACAUCUGACUCGACUCCGGGGGAUUUAUGGUAAUAGGAAAAGCAGUGAAUGGGAGUUCCUGCUGUCCUCACCAGCAUCUCAUGUUGUCAGUGCUUUGGAUCUUAGCCAUUCUAGAUGGAAAAUCAGUGCGUGGGCAGUGAAAGGGAAGUCCAGCCUCACGGAGGGGCUAUUCCUGUGGGUCUCCAGAACAUUCCUCCCACCCCACCCACCUCAUGACAAACUGAGGCAGUGUCCUAAUGCUUCCGAAUAACAAAGCGUCUGAGGCUCUGAAGUUCAGUGUGAAAACGCACAUGUUCGGCUGUAUUGGAAAGCACGGCAAAGAGAAAGUGAGAUUCUCCGCAGUGUGUACGGCCCCAGGGAAAACAAAUCAUUGUGCAAAGCUGGUUCUGAAUCCCAGCUCCCUCCUAAAUCGGACUUUCCGCCUAAUGGAAGGUGGAGAGACACGUGGAGUAAGGAUAAGUGAGCCAGUUUUUAAGCUGAGGCUUCCUGUAGGAGUUGCAGCAGCCGUGUGACUUUGGACAAAUAUGUAAGUACCUUAAUUAAGCUACCGAAAGUACGGAGGCUAAAGUGUUUGCGACACGCGCUAAAACAUACGAGAGCUUCUCUGAAGAUAAGGAAAAGGGGUCUUGGAAAGUAUAGACCGUCCUUCUCUUCUGCUACCGUGUUUUAUUCCAUAGGAGGUAAUGGUAAUGACGAGGUUUUGAUCCUUAUCAUGCACCGGGCAUUAUCCUAAGCACUCCAUGCCUUAUUUAAUCCUCAAACAAUCCUUUGAAAUAGGUUAUGAUUAUGAUACCCAUUUUAUAGAUGAAGAAGCUGAGGCAGAGAAAGGUUAAGCAGCUGGCUUAUAGUCACACAGCCAGUAAGGUGCCGAGUCAGGGUUUGAACGUGGGACCCCGGAGCCUGGAGCCCUCCCGUCUCCUUGGGUCUGCAGCCCGAUAGUAAACUGAAGGAGGAAAAUUGCAGUCCACUUCCUGGGCAACAGGGGGAGUCUAGUUCCCCUUUAGCAACCAUACGGUAAGAAUGUUCAAAUAAUUAUUAUUCCGGAGCCUACAGCAGAGCUUUCUCUGAUGAGAAUCACAAAUUGUAUCCUUCUUGAGAUGCUUACAGUCUAAACCUGAGAUGCCCAGCUUGGUAGCCACUAGCCACAGGUGGCUGUUUAAGUUUAAAUGAACUGAUCAGUGGAAUAUGAGAGUCCAGCUAUAGACCCCACACAGACACCAAACACUGAUCUUCAAUAAAGGGACAAAGGUGAUUCAGUGGACAAAGGGUGAUCUUUUCAACAAAUGGUACUGAAACAAGUGUAUAUUCGUAUUGAAAAAACUGAACAAUCCCCGCCUUGCCCCGUAUGCAAAGUAGUGCAUUUAACGGUCCAUUUAACUCAAAAUGGACCAUACAUCGAAAGGAAAAAAGAUCUAUGAAAUUUAUAGAUGAAAACGUAGUGAAAAAACCUUUGCGACUUUGGGCUAGGCAAAGAUUUCUUAGGUGCUCCACUGAAAACAUGACCCAUAAGAGACUAAAUUAAACUGGGCUUCCUCAGAAUUAAAACUCCCCUCUUUGAAAAACAUUCAGAAAUUAAAAAGACAAGUAAUCACCUGGGAGAAAAUAUUUGCACAUCACGUAUUUGAUAAGGGACUUGCAUCUACAAUAUGUAAAGAACCUUCAAAACUCUGUGAUAAGAAAACAAUAUAAUACAAAAUGAACACUUCACCGAAGAAGAUAUACCAAUGCCAAAUAAUCCCAUGCAAAGAUACUCAACAUCAUGAGACAGCAGGGAAAUAAAAAUUAAAACCGCAAUGAGAGGGGCGCCUGGGUGGCUCAGUCGGUUAAGCGUCCGACUUUGGCUCAGGUUAUGAUGGCGCAGUCUGUGAGUUCAGGCCCCUCGUCAGGCUCUGUGCUGACAGCUCGGAGCCUGGAGCCUGCUUCCGAGUCUGUGUCUCCCUCUCUCUCUCUCUCUCUCUCUCUCUCUGCGCCUCUCCCACUCGCACUCUGUCUCUGUUUCUCAAAAAUAAACAUUAAAAAAAAAAAAACAGCAAUGAGAUAACCCUAUAGACCCGUCAGAAUGGCUACAAUUAGAGACUGAUCAUACCCGUCGUUGGCCGGUUUCGUGGAGGACCAGGCAGGAACGGUACCACCACUUUGGAGAAGUUUGCCUGUUUCUUCACAAGGUAAACAAAACGCCCACCAUGAUCCAGCCAUUCUACUUGUAGGAAUUUACCCAAGAGAAAUGAAAGCCUAAGUCUCUGCAAAGAUUUGUGCAAGAAUGCUCAUAGCAGCUUCACGUGUUCAUUGCCAAAAAGUGGAAACCACCGAAAAAUCCAUCAACAGGUGACCUUGUGGCAUCUCCACAUAAUUAAAUAUUAUUCAGCAAUAAAAGGAAACCAACAGAGACCACGUGGGUGAAUCUCAAAAUAAUUUUGCUGAAUGAAAGAAGCCAGAUCCCCCCCCCAAAAAAAUAUAUAUAUACGGAAGGCAUGAUUCCAUUUACAUUAUAUCCUAAGGAAUGCAAACUAAUCUCUAAUGACAGAAAGCGGAACAGUGCUUACCUGAGUGUGUGCAUGGGGGGUGGGGAGGGGGCAACGACAGAGGGAUAUAAAGGGGUGGCAUGAGGAAACUUCUGGACAUGCUCUGCAUAUUCACUACUGUGAUUGUGGUAAUGCUUUCACAGGCACAUGUGUCAAAACAUCAAUUUUUACACUUCAUGUGCAGUUCAUUGAUGCCUUUUAUACCUCAAAAUGGCUGUUGAAACUUUUAAAUGUUCAAAUAAAAUUUAAAAUUCAGUUGCCCUAGCCGUAUUUCCAGUGCUCAAUAGCCUCGUGUAGCUAGUGGCCACCGUAUUGGAUGAGAACAUUCCCAUUAUAGCAGAAAGUUCUAUCCCACAGUGCUGGUACAAACACAGCAUCUCCUGCCCCAGGCUGGCAGGAAGUUCUACUAAAAAGGAACGUUUCUUCUGGCCAAAGAGCCCACUGCCUCUUUUGUCUACAGAGCAAAAUGGAUGGUGGAGGGGAGGGACAUUUGUCACAAGCAAUCGUCUGCCAUCAGGACAGGCCGUUAGAAAGGGGCCACGUGGCAGGUGCUGCUGGAGGGUAGGGAAAGGGGGUAGGGAAACCUCAGGAUGAGCUCUGAGGCUGGGGAGACCUCCUGCUAAGUGACUUGGGAGGAGGAGAGGGAGGAAGGAGAGGAGGAGGGAGGGGCGCAGAGGUAGCACUGACAAGUGGCAGAAUCGUAGAAAGCUCCCUCUCCUCUAGCGAUGGAUCUUUUGGUUCAAACUGGACGAGGGAGACAGGACCCUGGACGGGAAGGGAUGGGGUCAGAUCUCAACAGGAUUAAGGACAAAAAGCCACAGCCAGGAGAAUCCAGGUCUCCUGACGCUGGGAAUCUAAGGUGUUGGUGAUUAGGAAACUAAGUAGACGUUGUGAUUGUGUGAGGACUGUCGAGCACGCCCCUUUCUUCAGUCGUACCAAUUGGGAGCACAGGUAUGUUGCUCUCUAGCUGUGUUCCUCAGACUCCAUGCACCCUUGGGUGAUCUACCUGUCCAGUGUGGCCGGGGGAAGCCACAGCCCCUCCUGAGAAUAAGUGUUUAAGUGGGUGAAAUCAGGUACACAGAAUUACAAAGAAACCCCCCGGGGGUGUUAAAAGGCAGUUCUGUGCCCAGAGCCUCUCUGUGCGGGACCGGGAACCUCACUACAGGGCCAACGAGGCCCCGCAGUGAAUCUGUUCUGGCAAUUUGGCAGUUCUCACCCCGAUUCCGGAGCCCACAGGACAGAGGACUCCUGCCCUCCCCGAGGGCGGCCGCAGGGUCGUCUCAGCCUGUCCUGCGACUAAGUUCAGGCUCCAACUCCUCCUCCUCCAGUAUCUAUGUUUGAAAAUAUCCAUUUGACAAAAAUAUGUUGGGGAGGAGGCCUCAGUGCAGCGCUGGGAUGAGACCCUCACGUGGAAC